CCUACGGGGGGCAGCAGUGGGGAAUAUUGGACAAUGGGGGGAACCCUGAUCCAGCCAUGCCGCGUGUGUGAAGAAGGCCCUCGGGUUGUAAAGCACUUUCAGUGAGGAAGAACGCCUGGUGGUUAAUACCCAUCAGGAAAGACAUCACUCACAGAAGAAGCACCGGCUAACUCCGUGCCAGCAGCCGCGGUAAUACGGAGGGUGCGAGCGUUAAUCGGAAUUACUGGGCGUAAAGCGCGCGUAGGUGGCUUGAUAAGCCGGUUGUGAAAGCCCCGGGCUCAACCUGGGAACGGCAUCCGGAACUGUCAAGCUAGAGUGCAGGAGAGGAAGGUAGCAUUCCCGGUGUAGCGGUGAAAUGCGUAGAGAUCGGGAGGAAUACCAGUGGCGAAGGCGGCCUUCUGGACUGACACUGACACUGAGGUGCGAAAGCGUGGGUAGCAAACAGGAUUAGAUACCCGAGUAGUC
rnacentral:rRNA from 1 species